UACGUAGGGCGCAAGCGUUGUCCGGAAUUAUUGGGCGUAAAGAGCUCGUAGGCGGCUUGUCACGUCGGUUGUGAAAGCCCGGGGCUUAACCCCGGGUCUGCAGUCGAUACGGGCAGGCUAGAGUGUGGUAGGGGAGAUCGGAAUUCCUGGUGUAGCGGUGAAAUGCGCAGAUAUCAGGAGGAACACCGGUGGCGAAGGCGGGUCUCUGGGCCGUAACUGACGCUGAGGAGCGAAAGCAUGGGGAGCGAACAGG
rnacentral:rRNA from 1 species